rnacentral:rRNA from 1 species
AGCUCAUUACAACAGCCAUUGUUUCUUGGAUCUAUUCAUUCUACUUGGAUAACUGUGGUAAUUCUAGAGCUAAUACACGCAAACAAGUUCCGACGCAAGAAGGAAUGCAUUUAUUAGAACUAAAUCAAUCGGGCUUGCCCGCUGUUUGGUGAAUCUGAAUAACUCCGCAGAUCGCAUGGUCUAGCACCGGCGACAUAUCUUUCAAGUGUCUGCCUUAUCAACUUUCGAUGGUAGUUUAUGUGACUACCAUGGUUGUAACGGGUAACGGAGAAUUAGGGUUCGACUCCGGAGAGGGAGCCUGAGAAACGGCUACCACAUCCAAGGAAGGCAGCAGGCGCGCAAAUUACCCACUCUCGGCAUGAGGAGGUAGUGACGAAAAAUAACGAGACAGUUCUCUUUGAGGUCUGUCAUCGGAAUGGGUACAACCCAAACCCUUUAACGAGGAUCUAUUGGAGGGCAAGUCUGGUGCCAGCAGCCGCGGUAAUUCCAGCUCCAAUAGCGUAUAUUAAAGUUGUUGCGGUUAAAAAGCUCGUAGUUGGAUCUCUGGUCUUGUUGGCUGGUCACCCUCAGGGUUGUACUGGUCAGCGGACCUGAACUGCUGGUUUUCUGCUUGUGCUCUUCAUUGGGUGCAUGCAGUGGCUAGCGCGUUUACUUUGAAAAAAUUAGAGUGCUCAAAGCAGGCUAUUGCCUGAAUAGUGGUGCAUGGAAUAAUGGAAUAGGACGUCAGUUCUAUUUGUUGGUUCAGAAUUUGACGUAAUGAUUAAGAGGGACAGAUGGGGGCAUUCGUAUUGCUACGCUAGAGGUGAAAUUCUUGGAUCGUAGCACGACGAACAACUGCGAAAGCAUUGCCAAGAAUG